CAGCCCUUCUCCCCGCAGCCCCCUCCAGCCCGGGAGCCUUGGGGGUAAGGGCAGUCGGCAGCUGCUCAGACACGUGUGGCCUCAGGAGAUGGUGGAGAACUCCUUGAGCAGGACUUCCUGGCUGAGGGUGUGGAAGGCCAGGUUUCUCCUGACAUUGGUGCUAAUGGAUCGAACCUGGGAAAGGGUUGGGGAAGAUGGAGACCCCUGCAGGGAGUGCAGCCUGUGUCAGCGGGGAAAGGACUGUGGAGAAGGGGUCGAAGGGCCCAACUCUGUGAGUGGGUUCUAGGAGGAAUCCAGCAUACUCUGGAAGGAGUGCUGUUCAUGGGAAACUGAAGUGAAUGCUGUAUGAGAGACCAAGUUGGGGAAGGAGGAGAAAAAGCGUGCGUAUCUAUCCUGGGCCCCAAAGACCAGGGAGCUUUCCUUCAGUUUCUGCUUAGCGACGGGGAACAUAAUGAAGCCAUCGGGCAGGAGGCAGAGGCAAGGGCAGCAGGGCCAACAGUGGGCGGCUCACGCUCAUUAGCUCCAAGCCCAACCAGCCCCUCUUCGCUCCCUGGUGCCAAAGGAACAGGUAGAAAGAGAAGUGAGUCAGGGAGAGGCUAGUACCAAAGGGGCAGAGGCAGAGAGUUCCCCUAAGUCCUCCACAACCUUUUCUUCUCCAAUGACUUACUCUCCUUGUGAAGACUGGGCCCUAUCAAUCCCCCCCGCAACAAUGUAAGACUGGCCACAAAUAUACCUGACCCCAUAAAUA